rnacentral:rRNA from 1 species
UACGUAGGGGGCAAGCGUUGUCCGGAUUUAUUGGGCGUAAAGAGCGUGUAGGCGGCCAAGCAGGUCCGUUGUGAAAACUGGAGGCUUAACCUCCAGACGUCGAUGGAAACUGUUUGGCUAGAGUCCGGAAGAGGAGAAUGGAAUUCCUGGUGUAGCGGUGAAAUGCGCAGAUAUCAGGAAGAACACCCGUGGCUAAGGCGGUUCUCUAGUACGGUACUGACGCUGAGACGCGAAAGCGUGGGGAGCGAACAGG